CCAAACAAGGUAUGUCUGCUCCACUUCCCAUUGUAUUUUUGUCGUAUUUAUUUCUGUUUUCUCUGUCGAUCGGUCGACUAAUCUUUGUCUUGUUGUCCAUCAGGCCCUCACUGAACUGUACUCAAUGCCCAACGGAGCGCAGACUCCGACUGAGGAGGGAGAAGCGAGCGGGGGCGAGAGUCAGGAGGAGUGGGACUCGGACGCCGCCGAGGCCGAUGAUGAUGACGAUGACGAUGAUGAUGAUGAUGAUGAGGACGGCGAAGAGGAGGAGGAGGAGGAGGUCGCACCACCGCGCUCAGAAAGGCGGUCGAAACUUGUUCAUGACCCUGCGACUGAACGCGGCGAGGGGGUCGCGACUGUUACUCAGUCGACCAAGCGUCCCUGGAUCACCUCUCUGGCGCCGACUGAAAAGGCGCCGAAGCAGCCCAGG
rnacentral:lncRNA from 1 species